rnacentral:rRNA from 1 species
UACAGAGGGUGCAAGCGUUAAUCGGAAUUACUGGGCGUAAAGCGUGCGUAGACGGUUAUUUAAGUCAGGUGUGAAAGCCCCGGGCUCAACCUGGGAAUUGCGGUUGAAACUGGCGAACUAGAAUCUGGCAGAGGGGGGUGGAAUUCCACGUGUAGCAGUGAAAUGCGUAGAGAUGUGGAGGAACACCGAUGGCGAAGGCAGCCCCCUGGGCUGAGAUUGACGCUCAGGCACGAAAGCGUGGGGAGCAAACAGG